ensembl:lncRNA
CCGGGGCCACCCACUUCUUUCCAUUCACUACACAUUGUUUCCUGUUGUCAGGCAGCUGCGGGCGGCGCUCGGCCCCGGCGAGGGAAUCCUUCAGCCCUUGGCUGCCUCUCAAGCAUUGCACAAGGAUGUGCCUGCCGCCCUCCCGAGCCAGCCCCGCUCCAAGAGAGCGAGGAGGGAGCGCCCAGCUCCCACCGCCUCCCGCCACCGCCACCAGCCUCGCUGGUGCUGGCCCCAGGAGCUCCCAGCCCGGGCUCCUCCCUCUGUCGUCCUCCGCUGUCCUCCUCCUCCUCUUCCCCAGACUCUUCCUACCCUUCUGCCCUCUUCCCCCUCUCCCCUUCCCCUACUUUCCUCCUCCUCCCAGCCUUCCUUUCUCCCCCUCCCCCAUCUUCCUCCUCCUCCUCCUCCUUCCUAACCACUUCUUCCUCUUCUCCUCCUCCUCUCUCCCCUCCCUUAUCUUCGUCCUCCUCUUCUUUUACGUCCUUCUCUCUAGCCUCUUCCUCCUUUUCUCCCCUUCUGUCUUCUUCCCCCUGCUGUUCUUCUUCAUCCCUCCCGCCCCCUCACUCCCUCCUUUCCCACUGGUCUUUCUCCUCCAGGUCCCCCUGCACAACCGCGAGACACGGUGCCCCGGGUCACCGCUGGGUCCUACAUUUCAUUUCAUUCCCUUUUGCACCUUCUAGGGGUUCUGCUCCUUCACUAAUCCCAUGAAAAGGGGAACAGCAUGGGGUAGACAUAACAUUGAAUUUGGAAUCAGAGGGCCUGCGUUUGAACCCUGGCUCUGGGAAGCACUACCUCUGUGAGGUUGGGUAAAUCCUCACCCUCCCUAAACCUCAGUUUCCUCAUCUGUAAAAUGAGGCAGUUGAGGUGGAUGGCCUCUGAGGUCCCUUCCAGCUCCAGAUGUGUCAGCCCAUGAUCCCGUCACUGACUCCAAGCCCAAUGCUCUUUUUAGGUCUGGAUGCUGCCUGGUUCUUCCCUCCCUCCCUUCUACUCUCUCCUUGCUGGUGCUGCCCCAGCUGGCAGGAUCCUUCUCCCAGGUGCCCAUGAAUGAACUCCUUGUGGCACACAGCCUCCAGUGAGCCCUUCAGGAUGCCCUGGGGCAGAAGCUAAGAGCAGCUUGCUGGGAGAGACUCUGGGUGGACAGGACAUGCUCCAUAGUAGUCACCUUCCUGGACCCCUGACCAGAAGAAUCUUCAUGCCCCCAGGGACUUCCCAGAGGGCAGUGUUUGCCAGAAGCACUGUGGAUCUCAUUAUCCUCAUGGCAUGAGUCACAUCUGAACUCUUGAGCCUGGCUGUGCAGAGCAGCUGGGGGCUCUUUUUCAUCCAGCAAAUGGGAGUCAUAGGGGGGCCACAGGAGGGAUCUGAAGGAGCCAGCAGGCCAAGAUACACUAAUAUUCGCAAAUCAAUAAUACUUCAGGGAGUCUAGUACUAGAAGUAACAUUUGGGAUUGCACAGCCAUUUUACAGGUGAAGAAAUAGGCUCAGAGAUUCAAACUGACUUAACCCAGAGAGCCCAAAUUAGGGCACAAGUCCUCAGACCACAGAUCUAGCAUUCUUUCCACAAUGCUUCACUGACAGGUAACACAUGUGUACGGAGCUCCCGGUGAGGAAACCACCUCUACCAGGGCAGAUCAAUCACUAUUCACAACUUACAUGUCAGGGAUUCUUAACCUGAGACCCACAGACCUCCCAGUGCUCAGUGAGGUCUGUGAGUAGAUUUCAGGAGGUACAUGAACUUGGAUGGGAAAAAAUGAUAUCUAUCUCAAUAUAAUUGAAAUAUAAUCAAUAUAAUCCUUUUAUAAUGCUAUGUAUUUUAUUUCAUGCAUUUAAAGACCUAAUUCUGAGGAAUGUCCAUAGGUUUCACUAGACUGACCAAAGGGGUCCAUGACAGAAGAACAGUUAAGAACUCCUUGUCUUAGAGAAUUACUUGGGGAGCCUGUGAGGUUCUGAGACUUUCCCAAAGUCACACAGUCAAUAUAUAUCAAAAGCAGGAUCUGAAUCCAUGCCUCCUUGAGGCCAGCUGUCUAUUCACUCUCCAUCUAUCUAAGAUAGCCCUCAGAUAAGGAAGCAGUACUAGCAUUAUCAUCCUCAUUUUACAGAGGGGGCUCAAACACAUCAAGUGACUUGCCUGGAGUCACCCAGGUAGUAAACAUCAGAGUGAGGAUCUAAAACCAUGUCCCCUAAUUCCAAACUCUUAAGUUCAGUACUCUUCCCAUCAUGGCUUGCUGUGUCUUAUAUAGGGCAUAGAAAUCAAGGAUGUUAGGACAGAGAGGUAUUAAAAGACUGCACAAGUCAACAUCUCUCCCUGAGAGGCUCUUAGAUAGCCUCAAAAGCCAGAAGAGAGGAGGAAAUGAUGACAGGGCAAAGAGAGCCUCAGAAUAAAGCCACAGCCGUAUCCA